rnacentral:rRNA from 1 species
AACGGGGGGGGUUAGUGUUACUCAUCAUAACUGGGUGUAAAGCGUACGAAGGCUGUUUUUUAAGUUUUAAUCAAAAUAAUCUAAGCGUAACUUAGAAAUUGAUUUUAAUACUGAAAAACUUGAGGUCAAAAGAAGAAAGUUACAUUUUUCAUGUAGCGGUGAAAUGCGUAGAUAUGGGGGAGAUAACCAGCAGGCGAAGGCGACUUUCUAUAAUGAUGCUGACGCUUUAGUAUAAAAGCGUGGGGAUCAAACGGG